UCUGUAUGGUUGCCCCGGGAUCGGGUUUGCUAAAGAAAAGGCUAUCAGAUCGGAGCCAAUUCCAGCCCUGUCCUGAUUCAAUCCUUCCAGACCAACCUCUCGACCCUUCUCGUGUCUACAGUACAGAGGAGCCGAAUCAGCGGCGACUCCGGCGUGCUCGUUCUUCCGCCGGCCCUCCUGAGCGUUUCCCUCGCCCCCAGCGGCCCCCAGGGCGGCUGGAGGUUAGGGGGACCUUGGAUCUGGGCGCGGCAUGUAUAUAGGUGCGGGGCGUCGUCCCCAGGUUCGGUUUUCGGCGCCGAUGUAUUGACGGAGCAAUCGUCGGUGCGCCAUCGAAAUAAUGUCCCCCAGCUCUGGCUCCGGCUCGUCGGCGUUGUGGCAGAUGCUGGCGAGGGGCUUGUGGGGUCCUGCCUUUUGGCGCGAUGGUGGUCUGGCUCGUCGGCCUUCUCCAGCGGUGCCGGCUCUUCGCGCAAGGACAAGGGCGGCUUAAUCUGUCAAGGCUGGUGGCUUGUGGGAGGGGGAUCCGGUCAUCUCUUUCGAGCUGAUUUGGCAUCGUCCCCGGAUCCGGUGCAGGAGCAGCUUGGGGAGCGUCCCCGGCAUGGGGAUCGCCUCCGGCCGAUGUCUGAUUUGGUUUUAGAUCCGAUUUGCUGGAAUCGGUGGAUGAUGCGGUUCAUCAACGCCUAUGUGGCAAGGAGCUUCUCCUGCUCCAGGUUUGCUCAAGAUUUGGCAUCUGCUCCGGUGAUUCAUCGUCAACAGGGAUUUGGGGCGCCGAGCAUGCAAUUCCGAGGAAGGUCUCCAUGGACUAUUUUCCCUAUGUAUGGGGCUUUGUUUUCUGGCUGCGACAACACCGCCUGUAUCCUUUGUGUCUUUCUGUAUCUGUAUUCGUACGUGUAUUCGCAUGGCUGUACUGUUUUCCUACUCGUAUGAAUACAAGUAACGUAUGCCUUCGGGUGUACGGUUUCAAAAAAAAAAGAUCGGAGCCAAUUCCGUUCCCCCGCCCUACCCUAGCCGCCGCCUCCUCCUCCUCCUCCUCCAGGGUUCUGCGCGGCGUCGCCUCUGGAUCAGACAUGACGAGGACGGAGUUCUGGGGUAGGGAAGUGAAGCCAGGACAGACUGUUUCUUGUGAUGCCGGUGAUGAGUAUGUUAUUCGAAUCUCACAGGUUGCUCUCGGUGACACAAACAAGAAAAAGGAGGAAGUGGCAAUAUAUGUUAAAGUUGAUCAUUGGCAGAUUGUCACUGGUACACUAAUGGCUAAAAGACAUCCUCAUAUGAUGUGUGAUUUGACUUUUGAGAAAGAAUUUGAGCUCUCACACUCUUCACAGACGUCUAGUGUCUUUUUCUGUGGCUACAAGAAUUACCCCUUCAAGUCCGAUGGUGCUAAAGGUGAAGAAAAAGGCAAGCAUAAGGGAAAAGCUCCUGCAAAGCUUGAUGCUAAGAUGGAUAAAAGUUGGGAUGACGACCUCCCUUCCUCUGGUGAUAUGGACACAUAUGAGGAUAGUACCUCAUCUACUGAUAAUUUGACUAUACCGUCUUACAGUGAUGAAGACAUUCCGGAGGAUGUUUCUUUUACUGAUCAGGAUGUGUCCCUUAGUCAAACGCAUGAACUUGAAACAUCUGAGAAGAGCGCAGGCGAAAGUUUUUUUUUGAAAUGGUCACCGGGGGGGAAAGGCUCCCCACCUGAAUAUAUUUCAAAAGGUAGCAGAUGUUACAAGGUUCACAGAUGGUUCGAGGAGAGGAACUCACGCCACAAGCCGGUGUGGCCUUUUAAGGAGUCAGUCUUAAGCCUAUGAGACCAAAUAACCAAUUCCUCUAAGAUAGCUUUUACAGAAACUGAGGCAGCAAGGUCAAGUCCUUGGAAAACUUUCUUAUUUCUAGCAUCCCAAAUUUUCCAUAAAAUAAGAAGGAGCAUGAACGUGCGCACUGAAGUGGGUAGCUGAGCGGGGAGGGGGGAGCUGAAGAGCUCGCUGAAGGGCGCGGCAGUAGGCUGAAUGCCCGUGGCCCUCCAAAUCGCACGAGCAGCUGGACAGGAGAAAAAAAGAUGAUCGCGGUCCUCCACCAAGUGAUCGCAUCUCGGACAGACUUCGGUAUCGAGGAUGUUCUUUUUGUGCAGGUUGUGCCGUGUGUUGAGACGGUCCAGGUAAAACAACCAGCCAAAGAUCAUCACGUUUUUUGGCACCUUGGAAUCCCAGAUAUCAGCGAGCAUAGGCUCAACAAGCUGAACCGAGAGGGCAGCAUAGACACCGCGAGUGGAGAAGGCAGCGCCAGUGGAGAAGGCAGCGCCAUUGCACUGUGAAAUCUCUCUCAAACUAUGAAGGUGUUUAAAUAUGGUUUUGGCAAGGAAGGAACUGUUCUUUCCGUGGCCAAUAUGAAGGGUGAAUGGUGAAGGACCCAAUCCUUCCAAGGGAGGUUAGAAGAGAGUAAAAACUUGUAGGCAAAUUUCAGCAGUAAGCAAAAGUUUUGUACGCGAAGGUUUUUAACACCCAGACCACCGGCAACUCUAGGGGAGCAGACUUUAUCCCAGGCAACCAGGCAUUUAGCCCCGGAGCAUGUGUCAUCGUUGGACCAGAAAAAAGUACGUCUACGUUUAUCAAUCGCUUCAAUAACCUUGAUGGGGAGGGAGAAGCAAAGCAUAAAGUAGGCAGGGAGACUGUCCAGGACCGCAGAAAGAAGAACAAGUUUUCCUCCACGAGAGAGAAGGAGCGCACACCACCCAGCAAGAUAGGCAUCGCAUCGGUCGCUAACCGGUUGGAAGGCGGACGGAGGGAGCUUGUAGGGGGAGAGUGGAAGGCCGAGGUACGUUUGAGGGAACGAGGAGAUGUUGGUCUCUAGAUCUGAGGCCAUAGCAGAGGCGUCAGCAGGGUCGACAUUGAGAGGGAUGAAGGUUGUCUUAGUGAAGUUAAUCUGGAGGCCGGUGGCCUCAGCAAAACCAUCCAGGAUGGCCUUUAAAUUCUUAGCCGCGUCGGGAGUGGCUUUGGCUAUAAUGAGCGUGUCGUCCGCAUACUGGAGAACCGGGCAGGGGAGGUUAGGGCAGAGUGGGUGCAGAAGUUUACCCUCACGGAAGGCUUUUAGGAUCAUUUGUUGAAGGAUAUCAGCAACAAUGAUGAACAGAUACGGAGAGAGAGGAUCACCUUGCCGGAGGCCAUUUUUGCAUUGGAUCCAUCUUCCGGGGAUGCCAUUGAGCAUCACUGCGGUAGACCCAGUGGUAAGCAACGAUUCGAUCCAAUCACACCACCGAGGGGGGAACCCUCUAACCCGCAGGAUGCGGAGGAGGGAGGACCAGCAGACAGAGUCAAAAACUUUCCUAAAGUCAAGCUUGACAAUGAGGGAAGGGGCUUUCCUCUUUGCACAGCAAUGAAGGAUAUCUGCAGCGUAAAGGAAGUUCUCGGAGAGAUUGCGGCCUGAGAGGAAGCCCGUUUGGUCAGCAUGGACGAGGAGAGGAAUGAGGUGCUUUAGUCGGUUAGUAAGAAGCUUUGCAACCCCUUUGAUCGGGCAGUUCUGAAGAGAGAUGGGGCGGAAAUCAGCAGGUGAUCUGGCCUCCUGAUGCUUUGGUAGAAGGAUAAUGAGAGCCCGAUUUAAGCACGAGAUAUCACUUGUUUGGGAAUGGAACUCCAGGAAAAAUAGCCGAAUUUUUUUUUAGGAUGGGCCAGAAUUUCCUAUAGAAGCCGAAUUUUUUCUUUUAGGAUGGGCCAGAAUUUUCUAUAGAAGCCAGGAUGGGCCAAAAUUUUUUCUUGUCUUGAUAUCUACUUCAGUUAAGGCAAAGGUAGCUCGAUCUGGCAAGAAAUCAGGUGACAAGAUGGCUAGUCAUGUGGCAACACCUAACCAACGACAGAAGUCCAGCAAGGUGUCUGCAAAUAGCAAGUCGAAGGAUAGCAAAUCCACAGGCAACCUUUUCUGCGAGCCAUGCAACAGGACAUUUGUCCAUGAC